rnacentral:RNase_P_RNA from 1 species
AGAGUGGGUCGGGCGGUCGCCCCGCACCUAAAAAAGUAGGGAUGUAUCGACUUUGUCGUGCUGUUCUGUGCUGUCAGAACGGUAGAACACAAUCGUAACACGCGUACUUUUUUAGGUGCGGGGAGGAAAGUCCGAGCAGGACAGGGCACGGUGGCGGCUAACGGCCGCCCGGGGCAACCCGCGGGAAAGUGCCACAGAAAAGACACCGCCGAUGGCCCUUCGGGGCACAGGUAAGGGUGAAAUGGUGCGGUAAGAGCGCACCGCGUCGCUGGUAACAGCGGCGGCACGGCAAACCCCACCGCCUGCAAGACCAAGUAUGCUGUGUGCCCGGCCCGGGCGUUUCACAGCGGGUAGGUCGCUUGACGACGGGCAGACCUGUCGUCAGAGCCGGUCGGCAACGGCCGGUCCAGUUUAAUGACCGCCGCCCCGCGCCUAAAAAUUGAAGAUUGACAACGUUGAUAUGGCGUUUACUCAACAAUCAAAGGACAAUAAUCAAUAGUCAAUAUUCAAUAAUCAAUUUUCAGGUGCGGGGCACAGAACUCGGCUUACAGAUCCACUCUUUCA